rnacentral:rRNA from 1 species
AAGGUUCCGUAACAAGGUCUCCGUUGGUGAACCAGCGGAGGGAUCAUUACCGCGUUUACAACUCCCAAACCCAAUGUGAACGUUACCAAACUGUUGCCUCGGCGGGGUCACGCCCCGGGUGCGUCGCANCCCCGGAACCAGGNGCCCGCCGGAGGAACCAACCAAACUCUUUCUGUAGUCCCCUCGCGGACGUAUUUCUUUACAGCUCUGAGCAAAAAUUCAAAAUGAAUCAAAACUUUCAACAACGGAUCUCUUGGUUCUGGCAUCGAUGAAGAACGCAGCGAAAUGCGAUAAGUAAUGUGAAUUGCAGAAUUCAGUGAAUCAUCGAAUCUUUGAACGCACAUUGCGCCCGCCAGUAUUCUGGCGGGCAUGCCUGUCCGAGCGUCAUUUCAACCCUCGAACCCCUCCGGGGGAUCGGCGUUGGGGAUCGGGACCCCUCACACGGGUGCCGGCCCCUAAAUACAGUGGCGGUCUCGCCGCAGCCUCUCCUGCGCAGUAGUUUGCACAACUCGCACCGGGAGCGCGGCGCGUCCACGUCCGUAAAACACCCAACUUUCUGAAAUGUUGACCUCGGAUCAGGUAGGAAUACCCGCUGAACUUAAGCAUAUCAAUAA